rnacentral:tRNA from 1 species
GCCUGGCUGGCUCAGUCGGUAGAGCGUGUGACUCUUGAUCUCCCUGUCUUGAGUUCAAACCCCAUGUGGGGCA